GACGAACGCUGGCGGCGUGCCUAAUACAUGCAAGUUGAGCGCUGAAGGUUGGUACUUGUACCAACUGGAUGAGCAGCGAACGGGUGAGUAACGCGUGGGGAAUCUGCCUUUGAGCGGGGGACAACAUUUGGAAACGAAUGCUAAUACCGCAUAAAAACUUUAAACACAAGUUUUAAGUUUGAAAGAUGCAAUUGCAUCACUCAAAGAUGAUCCCGCGUUGUAUUAGCUAGUUGGUGAGGUAAAGGCUCACCAAGGCGAUGAUACAUAGCCGACCUGAGAGGGUGAUCGGCCACAUUGGGACGGAGACACGGCCCAAACUCCUACGGGAGGCAGCAGUAGGGAAUCUUCGGCAAUGGACGAAAGUCUGACCGAGCAACGCCGCGUGAGUGAAGAAGGUUGUCGGAUCGUAAAACUCCGUUGGUAGGGAAGAACGUUGGUGAGAGUGGAAAGCUCAUCAAGUGACGGUAACUACCCAGAAAGGGACGGCUAACUACGUG
rnacentral:rRNA from 1 species